GAGAUCACGAGUUUGAGACCAGCCUGACCAACAUGGUGAAACCCCAUCUCUACUAAAUACAAAAAAUUAGCCGGGCGUAGUGGCGCAUGCCUGUAAUUCCAGCUACUUGGGAGGCUGAGGCAGGAGAAUUGCUUGAAUCCGGGAGGCGGAGGUUACAGUGAGCCAAGAUUGCACCAUUGCACUCCAGCCUGGGCAACAAGAGUGAAACUCCAUCUCCCCCCCCACCCCGCAAAAAAAGACAACAGAGGCGUUCAAUCAGUCGGCCGCGGAACCCUGAUCCGCAAAGAUGAUAGCAGUUCUGCUUGGUUCCUGUCUGAGCCUGGAUCUGGAUCUGGGAGGUGCUGGCGGGGUCCUGUUCUUCCGCUCUGGUGGGAAUCUGAUUGUGAUCAGCAUUGGGCCGCAUGCCAGAGACGGCUGCAGUCCUGUGCCUGGCCUGGCCGGCCUCGGUGCUACCCGCCACCCCUCACGUCUUCCCUUCUGGCUCCUUGUACGUCACUGGUCAGUCCGCGAACCCUGACUCUCCAUCAGUGAGCUGUGUGGCACUGGGCAAGCCUCUGCCCUUCUCUACUUCCCAGGGUACAGAGUGAGCUUCCACCUUUUGGCUUGAUUCUCCUUCACAUCUUGCCCACCCAGGCUUCUGACCGAAUCUAGCAGCUCAAGUCAAAUUCAGCUGGAAAUUGGCUGCUGAAGAAGCUGUCUUUCACCCUCUAUAACUGAGGACUUACUGUUCCUAACUGUUGCUAAGUGGGGGCUGUUUUCUUUGAGGGAGUUUUUUCUUCUUUAGCAAUUUUAUAUAUAAAAUAACAAAUGCAAAGUAUGUAUUAUGAGACAUGCUAACAAAAUGAACAUCUGUGAACCCACUACCCCAUCUAAGAAUUAGAACAUUAUCAACAGGGUUGUAUGUGCCUAUGUGUUCUUUCCUGUUCUGUAUGCCUGUCUCCCUUGAAGAGAUAGCUAUUACCCUGAGUUUUGGUGUUUGUUAUUUCCUUGCUUUAAAAAAGUAGCUUCAUCGGCCGGGCGUGAUCCCAGCGCUUUGGGAGGCUGAGGCGGGUGGAUCACCUGAGGUCAGGAGUUUGAGACCAGCCUGACCAACAUGGUGAAACCCCAUCUCUACUAAAAAUACAAAAUUAGCUGGGUGUGGUGGCAUGCGCCUGUAAUCCCAGCUACUGAGGAGGCUGAGGCAGGAGAAUCACCUGAACCCGGGAGGCGGAGUUUGCAGUGAGCCAAGAUCACGCCAUUGUAUUCUAGCCUGGGCGACAAGAGUGAAACUCUGUCUCAAAAAAAAAAAAAAAAAAAAGCUUCAUCACAUAUGUUUGUAUCUACAAACUUUACUUGUUUACUUUUGCUUGUUUUUGAGCUUUGUAAAAAUGGUGUCAUAUUGUAUAUAGUUUUUUUUUGGUUGUGAUAAACGGUAAUGCUGUGAGUAUUCUUGCAUAAAUCUCUGUAUGCAGCAGUUCCCAUGCACCAGCGUUUCUUCUAGAGAAGUGCAAUCGAUGAAUUCUAGGGCAUGUAAAUGCUCAAGUUCACAGAUUGUUUUGCCAAUUUCCAAUCCCACCAGCAGUAUAUGUAAGAGUAUAUGCUAGAAUAAUCAUCGUUUAUUGAACAGCCCAACUUUUUCCAAUUGACCUACAAUUGAUCUCUGUUAUCUAAAAAAUUUCUAUAUAUCUGUGGGUCUGCUUUUUGGCUUUUAACCUAAUUCAUUGAUCAAGUUGUCUAAACCUGCACUAAUAUUAUUCAGUCUAAAAUGCUAUGGAUUUAUAAGAAGUCCUGAUGUUGGGUAAGUCCUGCCAUCUCACUGUUUUCCUUGAAGAGUAAAUUGACUAUUUCUGGCCCAUUGCAUUUUGGCCUGUUGCAUAUAUCAGAAUCAACUUGUAAUUUUGAUUGGCAUUGUAUUGAGUCUAUAUCUCAGUUUGGACAGUGCUGACAUUGUUGUGAUAUUGAGUCUAAAUAUCCAUGGUAUAACUCUCAUAUUAGUUAGGUUUUAAUUAAUGCCUUCUAAUAAAUAUUGUAUUUUUUCUUAUGUA